CACAGAUCCUGAAUGUUGAGCUGAUUAUACUAACUAGAUGGGACUUAGUUUUGUCUACCAUGGGGUGAGCGUAUACUACCUGAGGGAACAGGUUCUCUAUAGUGAAGAUGGCAACUUGCUGACUCAGCCUCAGAAUGCAUUAAAUCCACAUAUUCUGAAGUCCUCAGCAGAGUGAAACUUCAUAUAUAAUAUUUUCUACAGACAAAGUUACCAUCAACAUCAAUAGCAACAACACGGCAACAGCCAACAUUUACAGAACUUUUAUUAAGUUCCAGUCACCAUAUGUACCUGCUUCCCCUUUGCCUUCCACCAUCAUUAUAAGUUUCCUGAGGCCACCAGAGCCAUGCUUCCUGUACAGACUGUGGGAUGCCAUGUAAGAUGUUCCUGCUUCCCCUUUGCCUUCUACCAUGAUUGUAACUUUCCUGAGGCCUUCCCAGCCAUGCUUCUUGUACAGCCUGCAGAACUGUGAGUCAAUUAAACUCUUUUCUUUAUAAAUU
rnacentral:lncRNA from 1 species